GUUAACCCUGCUCCCUCUCUCUGCAGGGUACUCGGUGGCCGUGGGGGAGUUCGAUGGGGACCCCGCCACGCCAGAGUAUGUCGUGGGCAUCCCCAACAAGAGAACGACCUGUGGGGAGGUCGAGAUCUUCAGUGCUAGGAAGUCUCUGGUGCUGGUACAGAGCAUCCAGAGUGAGCAGGUACCUGCCCCCCCAUCUACCCC